AUCUACGGCCAUACCACCCUGAACGCGCCCGAUCUCGUCUGAACUCGGAAGCUAAGCAGGGUCGGGCCCGGUUAGUACUUGGAUGGGAGAAGGAUGGGUUUUAAUC
rnacentral:rRNA from 1 species